AACGAACGCUGGCGGCAGGCUUAACACAUGCAAGUCGAACGCACCUUUCGGGGUGAGUGGCAGACGGGUGAGUAACGCGUGGGAAUCUACCCUUCUCUACGGGAUAGCUCCGGGAAACUGGAAUUAAUACCGUAUACGUCCUGAGGGAGAAAGAUUUAUCGGGGAAGGAUGAGCCCGCGUUGGAUUAGCUAGUUGGUGGGGUAAAGGCCUACCAAGGCGACGAUCCAUAGCUGGUCUAAGAGGAUGAUCAGCCACAUUGGGACUGAGACACGGCCCAAACUCCUACGGGAGGCAGCAGUGGGGAAUAUUGGACAAUGGGCGCAAGCCUGAUCCAGCCAUGCCGCGUGAGUGAUGAAGGCCCUAGGGUUGUAAAGCUCUUUCAGUGGGGACGAUAAUGACGGUACCCACAGAAGAAGCCCCGGCUAACUUCGUGCCAGCCGCCGCCGUAAAAC
rnacentral:rRNA from 1 species